rnacentral:rRNA from 1 species
ACGGAAGGCAGCAGUGGGGAAUAUUGGACAAUGGGGGAAACCCUGAUCCAGCGACGCCGCGUGAGUGAAGAAGUAUUUCGGUAUGUAAAGCUCUAUCAGCAAGGAAGAAAAUGACGGUACUUGACUAAGAAGCUCCGGCUAAAUACGUGCCAGCAGCCGCGGUAAUACGUAUGGAGCAAGCGUUAUCCGGAUUUACUGGGUGUAAAGGGAGCGUAGACGGUUUGGCAAGUCUGAAGUGAAAGCCCGGGGCUCAACCCCGGUAUUGCUUUGGAAACUGUUGAGCUAGAGUGCCGGAGGGGUAAGCGGAAUUCCUAGUGUAGCGGUGAAAUGCGUAGAUAUUAGGAGGAACACCAGUGGCGAAGGCGGCUUACUGGACGGUAACUGACGUUGAGGCUCGAAAGCGUGGGGAGCAAACAGGAUUAGAUACCCUGGUA